GAGGGUGUAGCUCAGUGGUAGGGCAUGGGCCUCACAAGCACAAGGGCCUGGGUUCAAUCCCCAGUACCUCCA
rfam:Camelus ferus unplaced genomic scaffold scaffold1675, whole genome shotgun sequence.